rnacentral:rRNA from 1 species
UACAGAGGGGGCAAGCGUUGUUCGGAAUUACUGGGCGUAAAGGGCGCGUAGGCGGCCUGUUAAGUCGAACGUGAAAUCCCCGGGCUCAACCCGGGAACUGCGUCCGAUACUGGCAGGCUUGAAUUCGGGAGAGGGAUGUGGAAUUCCAGGUGUAGCGGUGAAAUGCGUAGAUAUCUGGAGGAACACCGGUGCGAAGGCGGCAUCCUGGACCGAGAUGACGCCUGAUGCGCGAAAGCCAGGGAGCA